rnacentral:rRNA from 1 species
CCCAAGGGUUGGGCUGUUCGCCCAUUAAAGUGGCACGCGAGCUGGGUUCAGAACGUCGUGAGACAGUUCGGUCCCUAUCUGUUGUGGGCGUUAGAAAUUUGAGAGAACCUGCCUCUAGUACGAGAGGACCGGGGUGGACGAACCUCUAGUGUACCUGUUGUGACGCCAGUUGCAUCGCAGGGUAGCUACGUUCGGAUGAGAUAAGCGCUGAAAGCAUCUAAGCACGAAACUCGCCUCAAGAUGAGAUUUCUUUUAAGGGCCGUGGAAGACUACCACGUUGAUAGGCUACAAGUGUAAAGACAGUAAUGUCAAAGCUGAGUAGUACUAAUUACCCGUAGACUUAUAGUCU